GCUUCCGUAGCUCAGUAAGGUAGAGCGUUCGGCUCUUUUGACCGAAUUGUCGGGGGUUCGACUCCCUCCGGUAGCU
rnacentral:tRNA from 1 species